UAGAUUAAGCUCACCCAUAGAAAGCAUACGCGACUGCUUGCAGGCAGCGAAGGCUUUCUAUGAGGGGAGCAAACGAACAUGAGCAAGAAGGACGAUAGUCCGAAUUGC
rnacentral:sRNA from 1 species